UCCUGGUGUCUCGAGGUGAUCCAUACCUAAUCCCGAAGGAUUAUACUUAGGGUGUGGUUGCAUUUGUUUUCCUUCUGUCUUGAGAUCUGGUCCACAGGAAGAGGUGUGUGUCUCCUCCAAGGUCACCAGACAUCUGACCCUCUGUGCCGGCCUCCCCGAGGGCCCAGCCCUGUCUGACUGCCUGCGAUGUUUCUAACCAGCUCAGCUGCCUGUAACAGGAGGGUGGAAAUUUGGGACCUCGGGGUUCACAGGUGGGGGAUUUGAGCGGUGAUUCGCACAGAGAUCACAGUGAGUUUGAAAAGAGGGGAGAGAGGGAGGAGGUGGACACACGCCCGUCACCUCAGGAUGCUGCCCACGAGACGGCUGUCAGUAGAAGUGGUGCCCCACCGUGACCCUCCCAAACCGGUGUCCUGAAGCUCUGAACACCACUCUUUUCCCACUGUCCAGGAGCUCAUUUGGAUGAGGGCUGUGACCUGGGAGGGUCUGUUUCCCUGCCCGCUUUCUCCCUCGGACUCAGCCUCCUGGCCACCAUGAGGAGAAAGCGGAUUGCUCAAUGAACAUUGUGCCAGGAAGCUCAGCUGACAGCUCCACACUGCACUCUGCUAUGGGACACAGCUGAUUGUUUAUCGGCCUGGCACAGACUGCAAAGGCUGCCAGGAAAAGAAGGUUCCAGGACCCCGGAAAGCUGUGGUCACAGAAAAUGACCCUGAGCAGCCACCCCCCAGGUCUGUAGUUGGGGAUGCAGAGAAAGGCAUCCAGGGAUGCUGGCUCGGACACAGGCGCAGGAUGCCCGGGACCUGGGUACCACUGCCCCCCAACCCCAUGCAGGUCCCUCCCACAGUGUUCAGUUCCCCAAAAUCCCUGGAGGAUGGUCAGGAACGAGGGACCAGGACUUUGCUCGGGGUGUUUUCGUUCCUUAUCACCAGCCUGCUGUGCUCAGCUGUUGACCACCGGGAGCCACCCACCCAGCAGGGAGCCAGCAGUGGCCUUUGUGAACAGGUGGAUGUGUGGGCUUGGGGUUCACUCAGCCACUGCUGAUCUAAGUCCCAGACUCCUCAGGACCCGCGGUGAACUGGGCUGUCCUGCGUGCUGGCUCUGGCCACUGUGGCAAAAUGGUCACCAGUUCAGAUUGGCCCAAGGACCUCAAGCAGCACUCCUUCCAGAGACUGGACCAAAGUUCCCGGGACAUCCUGGGGCUGUCUCAUUGGUCUAGCUUGAGAAGCAGCCUAGACUGAUGGACUGAUCUGAUUGGAAGGCCAAACCUGGAGCUGACCUGGGUGCAAUUUAGAAGGAGCCCUGGGAGGAGGCUUGGGUUUCCUCACAGAGCUUGUGACACAAUUUACCAUCAUGAGACCGAAUGAAACCUCAGGGUCUUUCCCAGAACCGAUCAAAAAUUUCAAGACAACAACAGCAGAGCGUUGAGCCAUGUCCUGUGCAUGGCAUGCAUGAAGCUGGCCCAGACUCCCAGAUUGAUUGCUCCUCAGUUCGGAAAGCUCACCACCAAGUCCAGGCCUCUGGAUGUUCCCUUCUGAGCGGCAGCUGUGUUUACUUCUGGGGGUGUGCAGGGCGAAGUAAGGGGUGUGUGAGGCUGGGUGGAACUUCCAUUUCCCCAGAGUGGGCAGAGGGGAAUCAGAAGGCAAGGGGCAAGCUGAUCUCCGCCUCACCUCCAGAGGCUUGAAGCUGGGCCUGUCCAGGACCUGCCCGCCCUCUCUGUGACCAGCAGAGGGCAGUGUCGCUCAGCCAAGGCCCCAGCAGCCCAGCAGACCCAGCAGACCCUGGAACUGAAGUUCCAGCAGGCAGCCUGCGGCUUACCCCCAACUCCCAAAGCCAAGCAAAUAAACUCCCCAAGAAAUAGUGCCUCAAGGGUGUGUGGCCUGCAGGCAACUAAAAAGGCAGUGAGAAGAAAUCACUUUCCAAGAGCAGUUCAACUUCCCGCAUUCCCCCUCACAGAAGGAGGAAUGUCAAAGCGCUGGCUGGUUUUCCCAUGCCAGAAAGAAGAAAAUGCUUGGUAGGCACUUUCCUGUGCAGUAUCGCUUGAUAGUCAAAAAUACUUGAAGAGGAAAAUGUUUUUAUAUAUUUCUUAGUUUCUGAAUAAAACAAUAUUCCAAGAGCAA